rnacentral:rRNA from 1 species
AUGCUAUCCGAUGUGCCCUUCGGGGGANGAUUUAUCGCCUUUAGAGCGGCCCGCGUCUGAUUAGCAGUUGGUGAGGUAAAGGCUCACCAAGGCGACGAUCAGUAGCUGGUCUGAGAGGAUGAUCAGCCACAUUGGGACUGAGACACGGCCCAAACUCCUACGGGAGGCAGCAGUGGGGAAUCUUGCGCAAUGGGCGAAAGCCUGACGCAGCCAUGCCGCGUGAAUGAUGAAGGUCUUAGGAUUGUAAAAUUCUUUCACCGGGGACGAUAAUGACGGUACCCGGAGAANAAGCCCCGGCUAACUUCGUGGCCAGCAGCCGCGGUAAUACNAAGGGGGCUAGCGUUGCUCGGAAUUACUGGGGCGUAAAGGGAGCGUAGGCGGACAUUUAAGUCAGGGGUGAAAUCCCCGGGGCUCACCUCGAA